GAUGAACGCUGGCGGUGUGCCUAAUACAUGCCAGUCGAGCGAACAGAUAAGGAGCUUGCUCCUUUGACGUUAGCGGCGGACGGGUGAGUAACACGUGGGUAACCUACCUAUAAGACUGGGAUAACUUCGGGAAACCGGAGCUAAUACCGGAUAACAUUUGGAACCGCAUGGUUCUAAAGUGAAAGAUGGUUUUGCUAUCACUUAUAGAUGGACCCGCGCCGUAUUAGCUAGUUGGUAAGGUAACGGCUUACCAAGGCGACGAUACGUAGCCGACCUGGGAGGGUGAUCGGCCACACUGGAACUGAGACACGGUCCAGACUCCUACGGGAGGCAGCAGUAGGGAAUCUUCCGCAAUGGGCGAAAGCCUGACGGAGCAACGCCGCGUGAGUGAUGAAGGGUUUCGGCUCGUAAAACUCUGUUAUUAGGGAAGAACAAACGUGUAAGUAACUGUGCACGUCUUGACGGUACCUAAUCAGAAAGCCACGGCUAACUACGUG
rnacentral:rRNA from 1 species